rnacentral:rRNA from 1 species
GUGCUUACACAUGCAAGUCGAGCGGUAAGGCCCUUCGGGGUACACGAGCGGCGAACGGGUGAGUAACACGUGGGUGAUCUGCCUCGCACUCUGGGAUAAGCCUGGGAAACUGGGUCUAAUACCGGAUAUGACCACGGAUCGCAUGGUUUGUGGUGGAAAGAUUUAUCGGUGCGAGAUGGGCCCGCGGCCUAUCAGCUUGUUGGUGGGGUAAUGGCCUACCAAGGCGACGACGGGUAGCCGACCUGAGAGGGUGACCGGCCACACUGGGACUGAGACACGGCCCAGACUCCUACGGGAGGCAGCAGUGGGGAAUAUUGCACAAUGGGCGAAAGCCUGAUGCAGCGACGCCGCGUGAGGGAUGACGGCCUUCGGGUUGUAAACCUCUUUCGACAGGGACGAAGCGCAAGUGACGGUACCUGUAGAAGAAGCACCGGCCAACUACGUGCCAGCAGCCGCGGUAAUACGUAGGGUGCGAGCGUUGUCCGGAAUUACUGGGCGUAAAGAGCUUGUAG